rnacentral:rRNA from 1 species
GAUGAACGCUGGCGGCGUGCCUAAUACAUGCAAGUCGAGCGAACAGACGAGGAGCUUGCUCCUCUGACGUUAGCGGCGGACGGGUUAGUAACACGUGGAUAACCUACCUAUAAGACUGGGAUAACUUCGGGAAACCGGAGCUAAUACCGGAUAAUAUAUUGAACCGCAUGGUUCAAUAGUGAAAGACGGUUUUGCUGUCACUUAUAGAUGGAUCCGCGCCGCAUUAGCUAGUUGGUAAGGUAACGGCUUACCAAGGCAACGAUGCGUAGCCGACCUGAGAGGGUGAUCGGCCACACUGGAACUGAGACACGGUCCAGACUCCUACGGGAGGCAGCAGUAGGGAAUCUUACGCAAUGGGCGAAAGCGUGACGGAGCAACGCCGCGUGAGUGAUGAAGGUCUUCGGAUCGUAAAACUCUGUUAUUAGGGAAGAACAAAUGUGUAAGUAACUAUGCACGUCUUGACGGUACCUAAUCAGAAAGCCACGGCUAACUACGUG